UCUUCCAUCUGCCCUGGGGGCUGCUAAGCACGUUUGAACCAGCUCCUCCUGUGCCUUGGCUGGGGGGUUCAGACAGGACUGAUCCUGCCCUGGGCAGGGGCUGGACUAGACGAGCCCUCCUGAGGGCCCUGCCAGCCCAGCUCUGCUAGGGCUGUCUGAUCUGCAUGGGGUCCUGCCCCAGCCUGCUGCAGACCCUGAAACUCUGUGCCCAUGACUCCUUGUGCCCAUCCGAGCCUUCAGCCAGUGACUGUCCAUGGAGAGGAGAAGGACCCGCUUGGUGUUAACCGUUUGGGGCAGAAUCAGAUCGUGCUUGGACACCUGAGGCCCAGUGAGAGGCCUUUUGUAGUCGGGGGAGGAGGGAGGGAGGGGAGGCAGGAUGUGGCCCAGGGUCCCUGCCCGACUGCCAUGUACAGGGCCUGGCACAAGCUGCUUUGUGAUGUAGCUCCCAUGUCACUCCAUCGCCACAGAGACCAGGGAUGGGCAGGGAAUAAAUCCUAGCCCCUGGUGCUUUCUGGUCAGUCUCAGCGCAACCCGAGAGACUCAGCUAAGGUGUAGGAAGAGGUUUGUUUGUUUGAGAGAGUUUAGAGUUUGGAGAUUAGAUUAUAUUAGAUUAGAUUAGACAGAUUAGUAGCCAGUAGAGAGUUGUAGAGAGUUUAGAGAUACUAGAGUAGAUAGUAGUUAGGAGAGCAGAUAGAAGGAGGAGAUAAACUUUAGAUAGAUAGAGUUGAAUAAAGUAGAUAGAAUAGAUAAUAGAUCUUAGUGAUGGUAGGUAGGGAAGAGCUCAGGUCCCCAUGGUCUUGGGGUCCCAGCACUUGGUAGCUCGCUCCCAUCACUCUCCCAUUUCCAACCAGCUGCUCUGGCCCAGGCGGCAGGGAGAGACGGCCGAGAGAUAGCCCAGCGAGGGUAAGGAGCCAGCAACACCUUGGGGGUUUGCAAGGAGGUGUGAGGCUGGCAUGGGAGUUCCUGGUGCUCCAGCCUCCUGCUGGCAUGAGGGUACUAUGUGCUUGUGGUGGUGGCCGGGGCUGCUCGUUCCCUGCUCCCUGCCCUCUUAGCUCUUCAGCCAGAGGCCUCUGGUCCAGCUGAGCGGCGCUUCACACCAUAAGGGAAGGAACUGGGAUGGCCACGAGACUUCCUGAGCUCUGUGACCGUGGCUGUGGUCUGUGGUUGGGGCAUGAACUGGCAGAGUCCUCCCCAGGGCCUUCUGCGUACCUGGGCAUGGGCUGAGCAGAGCUUUCCUGGAAGCAGAGAUGCUGUAGGCUGUUGAUGGGUGGGAGCUUCAGGAACCAUGGCUGGGUCAGCGCAGGCUUGGAAAAACCUGAAAGGUUCCCUGCAGGUGCACGAAGUGGCUUGCAGGCUGCUGGAGGAAAGGGAUGGCAAGGGGGCUUCUGCUGAGCAGCUCUUCUCCUCCAGCUGCCCCAACUGCAGAUACCCAGAGGAUCUGGGUUGCAGCUGACCCCACAGCCUCCUCCUGGCAGACAGAGGCUGACAAACAGACCGGUCUGGGUGCAGCCCCCCCUGCUGCUGCACUCACAGUGCCAACAGGAAGAGGGGGAAGACGUGGGGACCACUGAUGUGUGCAGGGCAAGAGCCAGGUGAGUGACUGUGAGGUGCUGGCAGAGCUCUGCCCUGAGCCUUGGACAUGCAGGUGAUAACCUGCUGAGCCCUCCCUACCCCAACCUGUCCCCUGGCCUGGCAUGCCUCCUGCAAGAAAAGCCUCACCUUGGCCAUGGGGACCAAUCCAGUCCUGGCCCAGCCUUCCCUGUGCCAUGCCCUGGCUGAGCGGUCUGAAAUCCUCUCCCCAAAGACCCCUGCAAUCCCUAGGUGCCCUGAGAGGCCAGGCUAGGACUCCUCUGGCUCCUGUCUCUGAGCAUCUCCCAGUACUGGGACCUCUGGUAUCUGUCUGAUAGAGAAGGGGAAAAGGAGGCAUGGACUAUGGAGGGCUUUGCCCACAAGCCCUGGGUUUGUACAGACGUGUGUGCUUGAGGGGUGGUAGCAUGGAGUUGCCCAUGUGCUCUGGGGACGCAUACAGAGGUACAAAGAUGUUCAUCUGGCAGAGAUGUGUGUGUCCAGUGGGGUGCAGUGUGUACAUAUACAUGUGAGCUCAUGCUGGUGGCUGGCCUGUGUGUGUGCAUGCAUGUGAGGCCGUGUCCCCAGCAGGCACUCGCUGCUCCUCACAAUGACUCUCCCAUUCUUCCCCUCAACAGCUGCUGCGCCCCGAGACUCUGUGGCACAGACAGAAGCUGCCCACACUGGCCGUGCAGGGAGUGGUAGGUCCCCCAACUGGCAGUGCCCCAGGGCAGGGGCGGGCCAAAUCCAGGGGCUUCCAGGCCUCCCUUAUGGGCUCCCAGAUGUGAGGGGCUCGGACCCUCGGUGUCAGUGGAGGGCACUGCUGCAUGGCGACUGUCCCCUCUCCUUCUCUCCUAGGGCCUGGACAGAAGCCCUAAGAGCAGGGUCAUGGUGGAGGCUCCACAGAAGAGAGCUGUGGCUCAGAGCAACCCAGCGCCCCGCACACACCAGCAGGGCCUGGGAAGAUGGACACAUUGGAUACAUCCUGCGCUGAAGUCCUUUGCGCCCCAAGAUCUCAUCCACGAGAGAGCAGGGCCCAGAGCAACCCCUAAUCUGUCCAUCAGGGGAGAGAGCCUGGCAGCACUGUGGUGGCACCGUGGAGGUCUUGCUGACCUCUCUCCUCCCAAGCCUGGAGCACUGGCCCUGCCAGCACCAAGCAGGAAACACGGGAAGGAAGACCUGCAAGUUCAGCCCCAAGCUACCAUCUAUGCAGCCGAGGGAGAAGCAGAGGAAAAUACCAAAAUCAGCUGCCCCUCCGUUUCCAGCAAAUGACACCAGGACUGGAAGUAGUCAAUGACAAGAGGAAGCACCGGCUCCUCGCUUAUCCCCAACGAAAGCGUACCCACAAGGCAGCAGAGUUUUUUUGUAUCGUAUUUUAUAUCAAAUAGAAAUCUUUACUAUUUCAAAGGAAAUACACAGCAGACUGUUAAUGAUAUCGCCUGAGUCAUUACCACUGUCACGUGAUUA